rnacentral:rRNA from 1 species
UACGUAGGGAGCAAGCGUUGUUCGGAUUUACUGGGCGUAAAGGGCGCGUAGGCGGCGUGGUAAGUCACUUGUGAAAUCUCCGAGCUUAACUCGGAACUGCCAAGUGAUACUGCUGUGCUAGAGUGCAGAAGGGGCAAUCGGAAUUCUUGGUGUAGCGGUGAAAUGCGUAGAUAUCAAGAGGAACACCUGAGGUGAAGACGGGUUGCUAGGCUGACACUGACGCUGAGGCGCGAAAGCCAGGGGAGCAAACGGGAUUAGAAACCCCCGUAGUCC